UUGUGCUCAUGGAUUACAAGUCUUGCGUGCAUUGCUUGAUAUAUAAAUAAUAAAAUAAGUAUAUCUGAAGCACAA